rfam:Camelus ferus unplaced genomic scaffold scaffold65796, whole genome shotgun sequence.
GUGAGUAUAGCUCAGUGGUAGAGUGCAUGCUUAGCACAGCAUGCACAAGGUCCUGGGUUCAAUUCCCAGUACCUCCA